rnacentral:rRNA from 1 species
GUGUCAGCCGCCGCGGUAAAACCAGCACCUCAAGUGGUCAGGAGGAUUAUUGGGCCUAAAGCAUCCGUAGCCUGUUCUGUAAGUUUUCGGUUAAAUCCAUUAGCUCAACUAAUGGGCCGCCGAAAAUACUGUAGANCUAGGGAGUGGGAGAGGUAGACGGUAUUCGGUAGGAAGGGGUAAAAUCCUUUGAUCUAUUGAGGACCACCUGUGGCGAAGGCGGUCUACCAGAACACGUUCGACGGUGAGGGAUGAAAGCUGGGGGAGCAAACCGGAUUAGAUACCCGGGUAGUCCCAGCUGUAAACGAUGCAGACUCGGUGAUGCCCUGGCUUGUGGCCAGUGCAGUGCCSCAGGGAAGCCGUUAAGUUUGCCGCCUGGGAAGUACGUACGCAAGUAUGAAACUUAAAGGAAUUGGCGGGGGAGCACCACAAGGGGUGAAGCCUGCGGUUCAAUUGGAGUCAACGCCAGAAAUCUUACCCGAAGAGACAGCAGAAUGAAGGUCAAGCUGGAGACUUUACCAGACAAGCUGAGAAGUGGUGCAUGGCCGUCGCCAGCUCGUGCCGUGAGAUGUCCUGUUAAGUCAGGUAACGAGCGAGAUCCCUGCCUCUAGUUGCCACCAUUACUCUCAGGAGUAGUGGGGCGAAUUAGCGGGACCGCCGCAGUUAAUGCGGAGGAAGGAAGGGGCCACGGCAGGUCAGUAUGCCCUGAAACUUUGGGGCCACACGCGGGCUGCAAUGGUAGCGACAAUGGGUUCCGAAUCCGAAAGGAGGAGGCAAUCCUCAAACGCUACCACAGUUAUGAUUGAGGGCUGCAACUCGCCCUCAUGAAUAUGGAAUCCCUAGUAACUGCGUGUCAUUACCGCGCAGUGAAUACGUCCCUGCUCCUUGCACACACCGCCCGUC